rfam:Batrachochytrium salamandrivorans strain BS supercont1.1951, whole genome shotgun sequence.
GAACGCAGCGAAAUGCGAUACGUAAUGUGAAUUGCAGAACUCAGUGAAUCAUCGAAUCUUUGAACGCACAUUGCACUCUACUUUGUAGAGUAUGCCUGUUUGAGAAUCA